AAUGAACGCUGGCGGCAGGCCUAACACAUGCAAGUCGAACGGGUCCUUCGGGACUAGUGGCGGACGGGUGAGUAACGCGUGGGAACGUGCCCCUUGGUACGGAAUAGCCCCGGGAAACUGGGAGUAAUACCGUAUGUGGUCGAGAGACGAAAGAUUUAUCGCCAAGGGAUCGGCCCGCGUUGGAUUAGGUAGUUGGUGGGGUAAUGGCCUACCAAGCCGACGAUCCAUAGCUGGUUUGAGAGGAUGAUCAGCCACACUGGGACUGAGACACGGCCCAGACUCCUACGGGAGGCAGCAGUGGGGAAUCUUAGACAAUGGGCGAAAGCCUGAUCCGGCCAUGCCGCGCGAGUGAUGAAGGCCUUCGGGUUGUAAAGCUCUUUUAGAUGGGAAGAUAAUGACGGUACCAUCAGAAUAAGCCCCGGCUAACUUCGUGCCAGCAGCCGCCGUAA
rnacentral:rRNA from 1 species